rnacentral:misc_RNA from 1 species
UUGCCGGUGCCCGCGCCGCCCUCCUCCUCCUCCUCCGUUCCGCACUCCUCGUCGUGGAACAUCAGGCUCGCCUUCGCCGACGACAGCCUCGCGCCGCCGCCGCCGCUGAGGCCGCCCGCUCCGGCGACGGCAGCGGCGCCGUCGGUGAUCAUGAGCACCAUCUUCUUGGCGGCGCUACCGGUGCUCUUCCGCUGCACGGCGCCGACUUGGACGGCGUCGUCGCCGCUGCAGAUCCUCGGGACGACGGCGGCGACCGACGACGGCGCGCCCCGCCUUGCGCCGCCUCCGGCCAGCCGGCGCACGCACCGCGACAGGCACCUGGUGGCCCUGCGCGCGAGCCGCGAGCCCGACGACGCGGCGGCCUGCUCCUUGGCCAGCUUGAGGAUCUCGAGGCGGUGCUUGGCGACGGCGAUGCCCAUGCUCU